CAGUAGCGUAUAUUAAAGUUGUUGCGGUUAAAAAGCUCGUAGUUGGAUCUCGGCAGGCAGGGGGUGGUUCGCUCUUAGCGCUACUGCCCCAUUUGCCUGUGUGAUUGGCGGAGGUUUCGGGGUGCUCUUCGUUGGGUGACCCGGGGCGCCGUCAGGUUUACUUUGAAAAAAUUAGAGUGCUCAAAGCAGGCUUUUCACGCUUGAAUAUUCGUGCAUGGAAUAAUGGAAUAGGAACUCGUUUCUAUUUUGUUGGUUUUCGGAAACCGAGUUAAUGAUUAAUAGGGACAAUUGGGGGCAUUAGUAUUCAGACGACAGAGGUGAAAUUCUUGGACCGUCUGAAGACUAACUACUGCGAAAGCAUUUGCCAAGAGCGUUUUCACUAA
rnacentral:rRNA from 1 species